CAAUAGGAGUCUGCUUCCAACCGUCUCUUGACCGAGACUAGCGACUUGUGCGCUAACUUUUGACUUGACCUCAAAUCAGGUAGGACUACCCGCUGAACUUAAGCAUAUCAAUAAGCGGAGGAAAAGAAACUAACAAGGAUUCCCCUAGUAACUGCGAGUGAAGCGGGAAAAGCUCAAAUUUAAAAUCUGGCGGUCUCCGGCCGUCCGAGUUGUAAUUUAGAGAAGCGUUAUCCGUGCUGGACCGUGUAUAAGUCUCCUGGAAUGGAGCGUCAUAGAGGGUGAGAAUCCCGUCUUUGACACGGACUACCAGUGCAUUGUGAUGCGCUCUCGACGAGUCGAGUUGUUUGGGAAUGCAGCUCAAAAUGGGUGGUAAAUGCCAUCUAAAGCUAAAUAUUGGCGAGAGACCGAUAGCGAACAAGUACCGUGAGGGAAAGAUGAAAAGAACUUUGGAAAGAGAGUUAAACAGUACGUGAAAUUGUCGAAAGGGAAACGGUUGCAGUCAGUCGCGUCCGCCGGGGAUCAACCUUGCUUUUGCUUGGCGUAUUUCCCGGUGGAUGGGUCAGCAUCAGUUUUGACCGCAGUUGAAAGGCUGGAGGAAUGUGGCACCUUCGGGUGUGUUAUAGCCUCCUGUCAUAUGCUGCGGUUGGGACUGAGGAACUCAGCACGCCGCAAGGCCGGGAUUCGUCCACGUUCGUGCUUAGGAUGCUGGCAUAAUGUCUGUAACCGACCCGUCUUGAAACACGGACCAAGGAGUCUAACAUGCACGCGAGUGUUUGGGUGGCAAACCCGAGCGCGUAAUGAAAGUGAAAGUUGAGACCUCUGUCGUGGAGGGCAUCGA
rnacentral:rRNA from 1 species